UAGAUGCGAGAGUAGAGCAUAUCAAUAAGCGGAGGAAAAGAAACUAACAAGGAUUCCCUUAGUAACGGCGAGUGAAGCGGGAAGAGCUCAAAUUUGAAAUCUUCAAGGUUCUACCUUGACGAAUUGUAGUUUAUAGAAGUGUUUUCUGUUAGUAGAGUGGCAAAAGUUCUUUGGAAUAGGACAUCAUAGAGGGUGAGAAUCCCGUAUUUGGUCAUUCUUUCUAGCUUUGUGAUACACUUUCAACGAGUCGGAUUGUUUGGGAAUGCAGUCCAAAAUGGGUGGUAAAUUUCAUCUAAAGCUAAAUAUUGGCGAGAGACCGAUAGCGAACAAGUACCGUGAGGGAAAGAUGAAAAGAACUUUGAAAAGAGAGUUAAACAGUACGUGAAAUUGUCAAAAGGGAAGCGUUUGACACCAGUGUUGUUUUUCCGAAAAUCAAUUACGAAUGUUUUGUUUUUAAGAGUUAUGACUUCAUCGGCUUGCUCCUUUCUUUAUGAAACUUUCUUAAUGCACUUUUCGGUUAACAAGUCAACAUCAAUUUCUUUUGUUGUAAAAGGGUAUGAGGAAGGUGGCUUUCUUUUCGGAGAAAGUGUUUAUAGCCUUGUGCCUCUGCAAUCGGAGAGAUUGAGGUCUGCAGCGUAGAUCCUUCGGGGUUAGAUAGCAUUUGUGCUAAGUUAUAGCUUUUCAUAGACAACUUGUUGACUAUGUUUAGUCUUGUAGCUUACUCGCUUACGCUAUUUUACCUACGCUUAGGAUGUUGACGAGACUGUCGAUCUC
rnacentral:rRNA from 1 species